rnacentral:rRNA from 1 species
ACGAACGCUGGCGGCGUGCCUAACACAUGCAAGUCAACUUGACUGAAGGAGCAAUCUGACAGUAGAGUGGCGCAAGGGUGCGUAACGCGUAAGUAACUUGCCCCAAGUAAGGAAUAACGUCGAGAAAUCGGCGCUAAUACCUCAUAAUGCAGCGGAUCCGCAUGGAUAUGUUGUUAAAGGUUUACCGCCUUGGGAUAGGCUUGCGUCUGAUUAGUUAGUUGGUGUGGUAACGGCACACCAAGGCUACGAUCAGUAACUGGUCUGAGAGGAUGAUCAGUCACACUGGAACUGAGACACGGUCCAGACUCCUACGGGAGGCAGCAGUGAGGAAUAUUGGGCAAUGCUCGAAAGAGUGACCCAGCAACGCCGCGUGGAGGAUGAAGGUAUUCUAUAUCGUAAACUCCUGUGAGAGCAGACGAAAGACAGAUUAUUAAUCUGGAUGACUGUAUGCUCAGAGGAAGCCCCGGCUAACUACGUG